GACGAACGCUGGCGGCGUGCUUAACACAUGCAAGUCGAACGGAAAGGCCUGCUUUUGUGGGGUGCUCGAGUGGCGAACGGGUGAGUAACACGUGAGUAACCUGCCCUUGACUUUGGGAUAACUUCAGGAAACUGGGGUUAAUACCGGAUAGGAGCUCCUGCUGCAUGGUGGGGGUUGGAAAGUUUCGGCGGUUGGGGAUGGACUCGCGGCUUAUCAGCUUGUUGGUGGGGUAGUGGCUUACCAAGGCUUUGACGGGUAGCCGGCCUGAGAGGGUGACCGGCCACAUUGGGACUGAGAUACGGCCCAGACUCCUACGGGAGGCAGCAGUGGGGAAUAUUGCACAAUGGGCGGAAGCCUGAUGCAGCAACGCCGCGUGCGGGAUGACGGCCUUCGGGUUGUAAACCGCUUUCGCCUGUGACGAAGCGUGAGUGACGGUAAUGGGUAAAGAAGCACCGGCUAACUACGU
rnacentral:rRNA from 1 species